UGGGGAAUAUUGGACAAUGGGCGCAAGCCUGAUCCAGCCAUGCCGCGUGAGUGAUGACGGCCUUAGGGUUGUAAAGCUCUUUCGCACGCGACGAUAAUGACGGUAGCGUGAGAAGAAGCCCCGGCUAACUUCGUGCCAGCAGCCGCGGUAAUACGAAGGGGGCUAGCGUUGUUCGGAUUAACUGGGCGUAAAGGGUGCGUAGGCGGAUUUUUAAGUCAGGGGUGAAAUCCCAAGGCUCAACCUUGGAACGGCCUUUGAUACUGGGGAUCUUGAGUCCGGGAGAGGUGAGUGGAACUGCGAGUGUAGAGGUGAAAUUCGUAGAUAUUCGCAAGAACACCAGUGGCGAAGGCGGCUCACUGGCCCGGAACUGACGCUGAGGCACGAAAGCGUGGGGAGCAAACA
rnacentral:rRNA from 1 species